AUCACAUGCAGUCGAACGGCAGCACGGAAUUCGGUCUGGUGGUGAGUGGAGAAGGGGUGAGUAAUGUAUCUAGAUCGUGCACAUCAGCAGGGGGAUAAGUACGCAAAAGCGUGGCUCAUACCGCAAACGCACUACGGGGGAAAGCGGGGGACCGUCUGGCCUCGCACUAUUGGAGCGGCCGAUAUCGGAUCAGCUGGUUAGUGGGGUAACGGCUCAGAAACGCAACAAUCCGUAGCUGGUUUGAGAGGACGACCAGCCACACUGGGACUGAGACACGGCCCAGACUCCUACCGGAGGCCGCAGUGGGGAAUUUUGGACGACGAGGGCAACCCUGAUCCAGCCAUCCCGCGUCGUGCGAUGAAGGCCUUCGGAUUGUAAAGCACUUUUGACAGGGAAGAAGCGGAGCCAGAUAAUACCUGGCGCGUAUGACGGUACCUGCACAAGAAGCACCGGCAAACUACGUGUCAGCAGCCGCGGUAAUACGUAUGGUGCAAGCGUUAAUCUUAAUUACAGUUCGUAAAGCGUGCGCAUGCGGAUCGGAAAGAAAGAUGUGAAAUCCCAAAACUGAACUUUGGAACUGCAAUUUUAACUACCGCUCUAGAGUGUGUAAGACGGAGGUGGAAGUCCACGUGUAGCAGUGACAUGCAUAUAUAUGCGGAUGAACACCGAUGGCGAACGCGACCUCCUG
rnacentral:rRNA from 2 species